rnacentral:rRNA from 1 species
UAAGGAAUAUUGGUCAAUGGAGGCAACUCUGAACCAGCCAUGCCGCGUGCAGGAAGACGGCCCUAUGGGUUGUAAACUGCUUUUAUACGGGAAUAAACCUCUCUUCGUGAAGAGAGCUGAAUGUACUGUAAGAAUAAGGAUCGGCUAACUCCGUGCCAGCAGCCGCGGUAAUACGGAGGAUCCAAGCGUUAUCCGGAUUUAUUGGGUUUAAAGGGUGCGUAGGCGGCUUAUUAAGUCAGGGGUGAAAGACGGUGGCUCAACCAUCGCAGUGCCUUUGAUACUGAUGAGCUUGAAUACACUUGAGGUAGGCGGAAUGUGACAAGUAGCGGUGAAAUGCAUAGAUAUGUCACAGAACACCAAUUGCGAAGGCAGCUUACUAAGGUGCAAUUGACGCUGAGGCACGAAAGCGUGGGGAUCAAACAG